ensembl:lncRNA
AUGAACUCUGUUGCAGUGUCUCACCGGCUCCUCUUUCCGGGACGAUGUGUUUCUCAGCGGAAAUCUUGGAAUGAGGGAAGCACAAUGCUCAGGCUGACAGGCAAUGACAAGAAGCUGAAGACAAAGCUCUUGUCUACAGUGAAGGCCUGCACUGAAACUCACCAUCCUGAUUUCUUCGGAGACCAUCAGCAGGAGGAGGGCGAGCUUCUACAGAAGACACUUGUCCUGCAGCAAACAUGGAGUUCCAGCUCAACCGCCAGCGCACCUGUGACAGGUAACUUCACACGUCCACACCUGCACUCGUUUCAGACUCAUUUAUGUGACACUGAUGGUCUUCUGUGGCUUCCAAAGGAGCUUCAGAGAGGAUCACGACUACCUCUCACUGGUCCUCAGUCCUCAAGGACGCCUCAUAGACAGCCUGCAGCAGUACUUCAAAGGGAGUGACAUCACUGAUGACAUCAUAUCAGCAGCAGGACGUACAGGUCAACAAGUUUAAGUAGUUUCUGACUGGCUGCUGUCUGUGUUGUUUGUUUUCUCCAGACAUCUUCAUUUGACUGCUCACAGUUCAACAACCUGUUAAUCAGUUAACACCCUGCAGGAUAACUGAACACAAACUCCUGAUCAUCUCAAAGUCUCUGCAGGGUCCCGGUGCUUCUGGUUAUGCUCUCUGACGGAGGAUCCUGUAGCUGGAGGAUCGACUGGAAGAUCCAGAAGAGUUUUCACUGUCCAGCAGUGCAGGUAACACUCAGGUCAUCAAACAUCUGCCCUCUGCUGGUCAGCUAUGAAACACUCACCUGAACCAGUUUAAA